ensembl:lncRNA
UUACUAGUUAUUUACUUGUGUAUUUAUCUCCAUAAAUUUUUUAUUUUAAAUUUUUUUUAGCUUGCCAAGGGGAUUCCACAGUUGAAUCUUCAUGGAUAUCUAUCAACUUUGGUCCCUUUUCCAGAUACAUCACAUAUACUAAUUUGAAGGAGAUGAAAAUCAAUUUGGUAAUUAAGAUUAUCCUCAAUUAUUUUUCUCUCUGUGGAUGACAACUAUUCUGACCUGUUUUUUUCCUUUCUUUUAGAUGACAGUUCUAAAUUCCCUCCCAGCAACUCUGAAAGCAGAAUUAAUCUUUGAUCCAUCUAUUGGUGUACUUCAUAAUGAGACGCUUAUGAGGAUGGUUUUGUCCUCUAUUCUGAUAUCUCCAGACGAUGGGCAGCUUGAACAGUUCUUUACAGCUUUUACUUACAUCACCACAAAUAGAAAUAUCACAAUAAUUGAAAACACGGCUGUCCGAGACACAAUGCUGAACCUAACUUUGAUGGCUCUUUCUCCCAGAUUCCCUCUCUUCCAAUCCAAUGACUAUAUGUUGUGGUUUCAAAUAAAUCUUGUUGUACUACUGGCCAGUUUUCAUCCAUCAUAUUUGGUGGUUAUCCCCACAAACCUCAGCUGUGACUCUUACGAUGCAAUAUUAAAAGGCUUAGAAAAGGCUUUGGCUAUUGUACCAUCUGAACUUCUAGAGGACUUGAAGACAAGCAAAGAAAUUCUGAUUCUUUCACUACCAAAAGGUUGUCCUCAGAAAAAUACUCCCUUACCAAUAGGCUCUAAAUAUGUCACUACUGCAACUACAUCUUCAAUGUCAACCACUCAGCUACCAACUAAGGCCUCCACAGGUCCAGCAGUGUCAGGCGAAGUAUUUGUUAUUCUGCAGAUCCGUUUGCAUAUACAGUAUAUUGAUGCUUACAGUAAUCCUGCUUCAUUGGAGUAUCAGACUCGAUCCAGAAACAUCACAAUGGAGCUGAAUCACUUCUACUGGAAAUUGUAUGAGCCACACUUUCUCAGAUGCUACUUGAUGGGAUUCUGGCCUGGGUCUGUGGGUGUGGAUAUGCAACUUAUUUUUAAAAGUGACACUGUGCUUCCAAAUAAAGAAAGCAUUGAAGACAAUCUUAAGUCAGCAAUUGCUGAAUCAAAAGUGUUUCUUGACAUUAUUCCUUCCAGUGUCGUUGUUGUGAAUCAAGAUGGCUCAAGUUUGACAACCAGACAAACCCAGUCAUCACAAAAUGUUCUGAUUAAGCAAACAUCAUCUGCUGCAGCACCAGUUCUUUCUAGUGUUGUACCUACUAGCACACCUACUGAUCUUUCAAGCACAGCUCCUCCUAAUUAUGUUUCGUUCAAUGUCAUUCCUGAUCCUUCAACCAUAAUAGUUCCUACAGAUCUUUCAGACACUUCUGUCACCACUGGUCCAUCAGUAACAGAUGGUUCAUUAAACACAACAGAUGACACUCAUCUGUCAAGUACUUCAUCUCCUAAUGUUCCCAUACUCUCUGCAGUUUCUACUCAGAAGUCAAGCAUAACUGCUCCUCUUGGAACAUUAAGCACAGCAGAUCCUGCUCAUCUAUCACACACUGCUCCCUAUGACCAUUCAAGCACUGGGGAUCCUACUGAUCAUUCAAACACAACUGUUCUUACUGAUCCCUCAAUCACUGCAGUUUUUACUAAUCAAACAAGCCCAACUGUUGGAUCAAGUACUACAGUUCAUAUUGAGCGACCAAGCACAACUGUUCAUACCGGAACCAUGACCUCUGCAGUUCCUACUGAUCUGUCAAGCACAACUGCUUCUACUAGUCCCAUCACAACUACAGAUCUUUCAGAUUCAUCAAAGGCAUCUGUUCCUGUUGGUUCCACAACUGCUGCAAUUCCUACUGAUCAAUCACACUUAGUUGUUCCUUCUGAUACGUCAACCACUGAAUUCCUUGCACAUUUUUCAAGAACAACUCUUCCUAAUUCUAUUUCAAAAAAUGCAAUUCCUACUGAUAGACAAAGCACAACUGUUAAUACCAAAACCUCAACAACUGUAGUUCCUGCUGAUCUCUCUAGCACAAUAUCACCUACUGGUUUUACAGACACUGCAGUCACUUCUGGUCCAUCAGUUUCAACAGUUUCCCCUGGUCAUUCAAACAAUGCAGUAACUGCCAGUCUAUCAAACACAACUACUAAUUAUUCUUCAAACAAUGUGUUCCCUACGGAUCAACCAAGCACAACUGUUCAUACUGGAACCUCAAACACUGCAGUUCCUAUUGGACUGUCAAUCACAACUGUUCACACUGCCUCUUUCAUCACUAAAAGUCAUACCAAUCAAUCAGCUGAUCCUCCUGGCCCCUUUACCAGUGAAGUACCUACUGAUUUAACAGUCACAAAUGUUUCCUCAAUCACAGCAGAUCAUACUAAUUUAUCAAGCACUGCUUUUCCUAUUAGUACCACACCCCCGGCAGUACCUCCUAAUCAGUCAAUCACAUCUAUUCCUCUAGGCCUUUCAAACAGUGCAGCUCUUCCCAGUCUAUUUACCACAAUAGUUCCUACUGAUUUGUCAAACAGAACUGUUCCUAAUGACCAUUCAAGUAUCUCAGUUCAUACUGAACAAUUAAGCAUGACUAUUCCUAUUGGUCCCUCAACUACUAAAGUUCCCACUAAUCUUUCAAAAACAACUGUUCAGCCAGGCUCUUCCACCUCUACAGUGACAACCUAUCCAUCAAGCACAAUUAUUCUGCCUGAAAAGAUAAACACCACUGUCUCUACUAAUUUGUCAAGCAAAGUCGUUUCUAAUCCUUAUACAACUACUACAAUUUCAACCAAUACAUCAAUCACAACUGCUCCAGAUGGCCAUUCAAACAAUGGAGUCCAUACUGUUUUAUCAAACACAACUAUUUCUGCUGGAAUGUCAAGCAGUGUACAUCGUACAGAUGUAUCAAACACAACUGUUCUUUUAAGUCCAUCUGGCACUACAUUGUCUGUAUCAGGUGCAGCUGGUAAUCAAAUUACCACCUCUGUAAUGUUUUCAAACUCAACACACUCUAAAGUUGUCACCACCUCAACCACAUCUUCAGUGCGAACCACUCAUCUAUCAACUAAAGCCUCCACAGGUUCAGCAGUGCCAGGCGAGGGAUUUGUUAUUCUGCAGAUCCGUUUACAGAGACAAUACAUUGAUGCUUACAAUAAUCCUGCUUCUAUGGAGUACCAGAUUCUGUCCAGAAACAUCACUAUUGAGCUCAAUCGAAUCUACCGGGAAAUUUAUGGGACCCGCUUCCUCAGAUGCUAUGUGAUAAGAUUAUGGCCUGGGUCAGUGGGUGUGGAUACAGAACUUAUUUUUAAAAACCAGACUGUGCUUCCAAAUGCAACAAGCAUUGAAGAAUCUCUAAAGACAGCAAUUGCUGAAUCAAAAGUGUUCCUUGGUGUGAUUCCUUCCAGUAUUACUGUUGGUGAGUUUCCUCAUUUCCUCAAACUGUUUUUUAAUGUAGCUAAUGAUUUGCUGGAAUUGUUCCUUCAUUAGCUGGUUUGUACUUGUUUUUCUAUACUUUCAGUGGAACAGCAAUAUACAACUUCAACCACCAGCCACACUCAGACAUCACAAAGUGUUCCUAUAAUGCAAACAUCAUCUGCUGUUGCACCGGUUCUGUCUAGUAUGCUGUUCAUGCUUCUGCUUCUACUAUGGAAUGAAACACUGUAAUUCUGCAAAGCUUUACUCCAUGUGUCACAUUCAAACCUACAAUUAAUAUUGUGACAACUCUAUUAUCUGCUUUUGUGAUACAUUACUCUUAGUUUUAUGUAAUGAAAAUUGUGAUUUACCUGAUACAUUUAAUUAUUAUUCUUCAGGCAUUUCUUGGGAAUUUCAACACCUAUAACACCAUAACUUGUAUUUUGCCUAACCCUUCUUGUAUUUUCUUUUCUUGGAUGUUAAAGAAAUUUAAAUGUAAUGCAUAUUUGUAAAUAACAAGCAAAAUACAAUACAAUGGUUUUGAUUUAAAAAUAUCAUAUAUAAUUUAUUUUGUUGAAUUUAAUUGUAAUCUGUACUAUUUGUGCACUAUUCCUUUGUUAUUCAGAAAAGUGUAGUUAAGAUAAAUUUAUUUGUAUGAGUACCAGUUUGUCAAGAUAGUUUCUGUUUCCAAGAAUGCUUUGCUUCAAUAAAUGCUGAAAUUAUUUUGUCUUAUUAUUUAUU